rnacentral:rRNA from 1 species
UACAGAGGGUGCGAGCGUUAAUCGGAAUUACUGGGCGUAAAGCGCGCGUAGGCGGUUUUGCAAGUCGGGUGUGAAAUCCCCAGGCUUAACCUGGGAACUGCAUUCGAGACUGCAUUACUAGAGUAUGGGAGAGGGAAGUGGAAUUUCCGGUGUAGCGGUGAAAUGCGUAGAUAUCGGAAGGAACGCCGGUGGCGAAAGCGACGUGCUGGACACCUUCGUGACGCUGAGGCGCGAAAGCCAGGGGAGCAAACGGG